UCUACACACCCACAAAUGAAAAUGCUACUUUUGAUAUAUUACAAUGGUGGAAGGUAAAUGCUGCGAGGUUUGACAUUUUGCCACUUAUGGCUAAAGAUAUAUUUGCUAUUCCCGUUUCUUCCGUUGCUUCAGAAUCAGCAUUUAGUACCGGAAAAAGAAUUUUGGAUCCUUUUCGAAGCUCCUUAAAGCCCAAGACACUUGAGGCCUUAAUUUUGUUACAAAAUUGGUUACGAACACCAAUAGACAUGGAUUCAUCUACCCUUGGAGUCGAGGAGGAGGAGAUUGAUAUUGCUGAGUCUGAGCUAUUCAGUUUCAGUGACCUUGCUUCUUCUUCUAUCGUCAUAGACUCAUAGACAAGGCUUUCAGCCAUUCGGAGGUAAAACAUCCACAAACUUGCAGGCUUGCAGCGACUCGCG